CCAGAAGCACAGAGCUCAGAUAAAGUUCGAUGUUGUCAGUUUUCUCCUCUUGGCUGGAUUUAAAGAAAGAAAAGACCCAAAUGUCUGGCCCAUUUCCUACAAAUGUGGGAGAUGGAAGAAACUUUGGGCAGUGGUGGUGUGUAUUGUGAUCAGAGUGGAGAGUGUCACAAAAAUGAAACGGCUUAUCUUCCUACAACCUACCUUCUCGUUUCUUUUUGGAGGCAAAUUUAUAAUGUGGAGGAAUUCAUAAUGCCUUGGACAAAAUGUGCAGCUAUUGUUUUUACUGAGAAGUUUGCAAGUACCUGUUUUAUCCACGUAGAUAUCCAAGUGCUAUGGUUUAAUAUAUCUCCCAAAUUUCACAAGUUGGAAAUUUGAGUCCCAACACAGCAAUGUUGGGGAGGGUGGGACUUUUAAGAGGUGAUUAGGUUAUGAGGGCUCCGUCCUCAUGAAUGGAUUAGUGCUGUUACAGAGGGAGUAGGUUUGUUAUAAAAGGAUGAUUAGUUUAACCUCCUCCUCUGCAGUUUAUUUAGAGAUCGAUUUUAUUUUGUAUGGAGGAAAAGGGAGUGGAUUGGGG
rnacentral:lncRNA from 10 species